rnacentral:rRNA from 1 species
CGGGAGGCAGCAGUAGGGAAUCUUCCACAAUGGACGAAAGUCUGAUGGAGCAACGCCGCGUGAGUGAUGAAGGUUUUCGGAUCGUAAAACUCUGUUGUUAAAGAAGAACAAGUGUUAGAGUAACUGUUAACACUUUGACGGUAUUUAACCAGAAAGCCACGGCUAACUACGUGCCAGCAGCCGCGGUAAUACGUAGGUGGCAAGCGUUGUCCGGAUUUAUUGGGCGUAAAGCGAGCGCAGGCGGUUUUGUAAGUCUGCUGUGAAAGCCCUCAGCUCAACUGAGGAAGUGCAGUGGAAACUACAAAACUUGAGUACAUGAAGANGAAAGUGGAACUCCAUGUGUANCGGUGAAAUGCGUAGAUAUAUGGAAGAACACCAGUGGCGAAGGGCGGCUUUNUGGUCUGUUACNGACGACUGAGGCUUCGGAAAGNCAUGGGUAGCGAACAGGGAUUAGAUACCCNUGGGUAGUCCAUGCNGUAAAACGAUGAAUAACUAGGUGUUGGAGGGUUUCCGCCCUUCAGUGCCGCAGCUAACGCAUUAAGUAUUCCGCCUGGGGAGUACGACCGCAAGGUUGAAACUCAAAGGAAUUGACGGGGGCCCGCACAAGUGGUGGAGCAUGUGGUUUAAUUCGAUGCUACGCGAAGAACCUUACCAGCUCUUGACAUCUUCUGCCAACCCAAGAGAUUGGGCGUUCCCUUCGGGGACAGAAUGACAGGUGGUGCAUGGUUGUCGUCAGCUCGUGUCGUGAGAUGUUGGGUUAAGUCCCGCAACGAGCGCAACCCUUAUUAUUAGUUGCCAGCAUUUAGUUGGGCACUCUAGUGAGACUGCCGGUGAUAAACCGGAGGAAGGUGGGGACGACGUCAAAUCAUCAUGCCCCUUAUGAGCUGGGCUACACACGUGCUACAAUGGAUGGUACAACGAGUCGCGAAACCGCGAGGUCAAGCUAAUCUCUUAAAGCCAUUCUCAGUUCGGAUUGCAGGCUGCAACUCGCCUGCAUGAAGUUGGAAUCACUAGUAAUCGUGGAUCAGCAUGCCANCGGUGAAUACGUUCCCGGGCCUU